AUGAAAAGUAUUGAAUGUCAGACUUUCACUCAGUCUGAAGCAGUGGUUAAAAAACCAGGAGAGUCUCACAAACUUACAUGUACAAUAACUGGAUUUACUUUCAGCAGUCUCAGUCUGAGCUGGAUCAGACAGAGCCCUGGAAAAGGACUGGAGUGGAUUUCAUACAUCGGCACAGCUAGUACUCCAAUCUACUAUUCCCAGUCAGUUCAGGGCAGGUUCACAGUGUCCAGAGAUGAUUCCAGCAGUCAACUGUAUCUACAGAUGAACAGCCUCAAGACUGAAGACACUGCUGUGUAUUACUGCGCUAGACAGUCACAGUGA